GGCGUUAUAGCCAAGUGGUUAAGGCAACAGACUAAGUUCCAUUGACAAUAGCAAGUCUGUACCCCUCAGAGGGCGCAGGUUCAAAUCCUGCUGGCGCCA
rnacentral:tRNA from 1 species